rnacentral:rRNA from 1 species
UGAGCAACCUGCCCUUAGCUCUGGGAUAACCCCGGGAAACCGGGGCUAAUACCGGAUAUGAGUCCGAGCGGCAUCACGCGGACUGGAAAGUUUUUCGGCUAAGGAUGGGCUCGCGGCCUAUCAGCUUGUUGGUGGGGUAAUGGCCCACCAAGGCGACGACGGGUAGCCGGCCUGAGAGGGUGACCGGCCACACUGGGACUGAGACACGGCCCAGACUCCUACGGGAGCA